GCGACAAGCACAAAUCUGGCUGGCAGAAAGUUGCACCGGGACGCGAUUGAGCGGACGAAAAAUUUUGUUUGACGGUUAGUGCGGUGUUUCGCGGCUUCAUUGGACCCAGAAGUGGUCAAUGUUGGUGCCACUCAACGGUCGUGUGUUGAUCUGCGAUCAGACGGCCCAACAACAAGAAAAUCGAUCGGCAAACAGCCUAGAAGAGGGGAGAGCCGCUAUUCCGUCCGCAUAGAAAAGCCGGAAGAGAAACACGCCGCCGGUCAAACACAGAAGUUCGUGUGUCUGCUGUGCUUUCGCCGGUUUGGCAGUCGUCGUGCGGAACUUGAAAAGCCGCUCAUCGACGAAAAGUGAUCCGUUUGAUCGCAAGGAAAGGGACGAGCGUCUUCGCAUCUAGCAAAAUCAAAGGCCCCGAAGGGGCUUUUGUUUCCAUCCCGGUUUCUUCGACCAACGCGCAAUUCCCACCGCCUUGCGAAAAAGCGGACAAACCGAGAGAGGCCGGAAAGCAGACGACAGGCAAGGCGGAGAAGUGAAACCAACAAUUCCGCGGGAGCGAGUUGCAGUGCACUGCUUUCUCUAGCUGGUUCCGGAGACGGUGGUAGCGGAAAAUCCUGCGUCAGUGCACGAAAGCGGUUGGGAAAAGCGAGUAUCCGAAACUCGCUAGUGUGAACGGAAAGCUCGUGAGCGACGACGAGCGCAGCAAGGACCUCGGAGGGACCCCAUCCAGCAUACGGGUCGCGCUGGACGGCCAGAGGGGUCUCCAGCGGAGGGAUCAGCCCUGCGGCUCGUGGCGAGUGGUACAGCACGGCGAACUUUGCAAAAUGCGUGCGUGGUGCGACGGCAGACGGCCGUUCGCGAUAAUGAUCGGCACAAUAGGGGGACGCCCCGAAGACCGUGAGUAAGAAAAUCUGUAUUUUGUAAGGAAGAAGACAUAGAGAAGAUAGAAGGUAAAGCGAGAGGAAUCAAGAUGACUAGGAGAUAGGAAGAAGAAAGAAAAGUGGGUGCUUCGCCCGAAAUACAUGUAUAAA